UGGCGCAACGCUGAGCGCUGCAGGUUGUUGGCCCUGCCGCCCAGGGUUCGAGUCCCGGUGAGGG